UAUUAAGAUUUUUCCAUCACUUUCUUAAGUUCUGGACAGUUAACAGAGCAUUCAAUUAAGCCCUGGUUGGAUUUAUGUGAUAUUAUUAAUUAUGUUGAAAAUUUAACAAUUGGUUCAAAGAGUUCAAAAUGGCUCCAGCAUCCCCCAGAGCAUGGGCAAUAUAUAAUCCUGGUAUUUUCAAAAGACCAGUUCAUAAUAUUGAAACACAAGAUCUUUAUGGAUAUAUACUGCAUGUAUUGCUGGCUGGAUUCUAUGCCUGACACCUACCUGGCAGCUCAGUGUUAAAUUUGAGGAAGCAUGGCAUGGUAGAAAGGGUGCAGAACUCUGAGUCAGGAAGAUCUGAUUUCGAAUUCCUAUUCCAACAAUUACUAGCUAUAUAGUCAUUGACCACAGAUGACUUCAUAUCUCUGAGCUUCAGUUCCUCUUCUUUAGGAAUGGAAAAUAGUAGCCACUUCACUGGGAGUUUUCUGAAGUUGUAAUGAAGGAGAGUACUCAGAUCAGUCACAUCUUUCUUCUCUGGACUAUAUUCUGGAUCAUUCUGGGAAAGUCAGUAAGGAGAUUGUCCGAAAAUAUUGUCAUCAGGACCAGCAGAUUUCCCACACCCAGAAAAACACAUAUCCUUGAAGUAUUAAACAUAAGUAGUUAUCUUAAAUACAGUUAUCUUAAAUACAAAAAUAAAUACUUUAUUCUAGUCAAUUCCUCUAAGACUCUCAUCACUUCUACUUUAGCAAUGUGUUUCCUUAGGUCUGGAAUAGCAGUCUUUCAUUUAACAUUCUGUCUUUUGUGAUGUAGAUGUCAUGAAAAGGAAUUAAUUUUAGAAAAAGGACAUUUCAGGGGGCAGAGCCAAGAUGGUAGAGUACAGGCAGCAAGUCAGUUGAAUUUCCCCCAUAUUCCUCUUCAAAAAAAUAUUAAAAUAAAGCCUCAAAUCAAAUUUUGAAGCA
rnacentral:lncRNA from 1 species